rnacentral:sRNA from 1 species
CAGCUACCACUGCUAAGAGCCAUCUCCACCAGAAGCCUGGCCAGACCUGGAAGAACAAAGAGCAUCAUCUCUCUGACAGAGAGUUUGUGUUCAAAGAACCUCAGCAGGUAGUACGUAGAGCUCCUGAGCCACGAGUGAUUGACAGAGAGGGUGUGUAUGAAAUCAGCCUGUCACCCACAGGUGUAUCUAGGGUCUGUUUGUAUCCUGGCUUUGUUGACGUGAAAGAAGCUGACUGGAUAUUGGAACAGCUUUGUCAAGAUGUUCCCUGGAAACAGAGGACCGGCAUCAGAGAGGAUAUAACUUAUCAGCAACCAAGACUUACAGCAUGGUAUGGAGAACUUCCUUACACUUAUUCAAGAAUCACUAUGGAACCAAAUCCUCACUGGCAUCCUGUGCUGCGCACACUAAAGAACCGCAUUGAAGAGAACACUGGCCACACCUUCAACUCCUUACUCUGCAAUCUUUACCGCAAUGAGAAGGACAGCGUAGACUGGCACAGUGAUGAUGAACCCUCACUAGGGAGGUGCCCCAUUAUUGCUUCACUAAGUUUUGGUGCCACACGCACAUUUGAGAUGAGAAAGA